CCCGCUGAACUUAAGCAUAUCAAUAAGCGGAGGAAAAGAAACCAACAGGGAUUGCCCCAGUAACGGCGA
rnacentral:rRNA from 1 species